CCUACGGGCGGCAGCAGUGAGGAAUAUUGGUCAAUGGGCGCGAGCCUGAACCAGCCAAGUAGCGUGAAGGAUGACUGCCCUACGGGUUGUAAACUUCUUUUAUAAAGGAAUCAAGUGAGGCACGUGUGCCUUUUUGUAUGUACUUUAUGAUUAAGGAUCGGCUAACUCCGUGCCAGCAGCCGUGGUAAUACGGAGGAUCCGAGCGUUAUUCGGAUUUAUUGGGUUUAAAGGGAGCGUAGAUGGGUUGUUAAGUAAGUUGGGAAAGUUGUCGGCUCAACCGUAAAAUUGCAAUGGAUACUGGCAGUCUUGAGUACAGUUGAGGUAGGCGGUAUGCGUGGUGUAGCGGUGAAAUGCUUAGAUAUCACGAAGAACUCCGAUUGCGAAGGCAGCUUACUAAACUGCCACUGACAUUGAUGCUCGAAAGUGUGGGUAUCAAACAGGAUUAGAUACCCCAGUAGUC
rnacentral:rRNA from 1 species